rnacentral:misc_RNA from 1 species
GAUGAAGAACGUAGCGAAAUGCGAUAAGUAAUGUGAAUUGCAGAAUUCAGUGAAUCAUCGAAUCUUUGAACGCACAUUGCGCCCGCCAGUAUCCUGGCGGGCAUGCCUGUUCGAGCGUCAUUACAACCCUCAGGCCCCCGGGCCUGGCGUUGGGGAUCGGCGGAAGCCCCCUGCGGGCACAACGCCGUCCCCCAAAUACAGUGGCGGUCCCGCCGCAGCUUCCAUUGCGUAGUAGCUAACACCUCGCAACUGGAGAGCGGCGCGGCCACGCCGUAAAACACCCAACUUCUGAAUGUUGACCUCGAAUCAGGUAGGAAUACCCGCUGAACUUAAGCAUAUCAAUAAGCGGAGGA